GAUGAACGCUGGCGGCGUGCCUAAUACAUGCAAGUCGAGCGAGCGGACGAGAAUCUUGUGGCUCUGAUGUUAGCGGCGGACGGGUGAGUAACACGUGGAGAACCUACCUAUAAGACUGGGAUAACUUCUGGAAAGCGGAGUGAAUACCGGAUAAUAUUUUGAACCGCAUGGUUCAAAAGUGUAAGACGGUCUUGCUGUCACUUAUAGAUGGAUCCGCGCUGCAUUAGCUAGUUGGUAAGGUAACGGCUUACCAAGGCAACGAUGCAUAGCCGACCUGAGAGGGUGAUAGGCCACACUGGAACUGGGAGAUGGUCCAGACUCCUACGGGAGGAAGCAGUAGGGAAUCACGCGAAAUGGGCGAAAGCAUGACGGAGCAACGGCGCGUGAGUGAUGAAGGUCUUCGGAUGGUAAAGCUCUGUUAUUAGGGACGAACAUAUGCGUAAGUACGUGUGAACAUCUUGACGGUAACUAAUCAGAAAGCCCCGGCUAACUACGUG
rnacentral:rRNA from 1 species